ACUUUUAUAGGAUAGAAGUNAUCCGUUGGUCUUAGGAACCAAAAAAUUGGUGCAACUCCA
rnacentral:tRNA from 1 species